rnacentral:rRNA from 1 species
CAGUGUACCCGCGGCAAGACGGAAAGACCCCGUGAACCUUUACUAUAGCUUGACACUGAACAUUGAGCCUUGAUGUGUAGGAUAGGUGGGAGGCUUUGAAGUGUGGACGCCAGUCUGCAUGGAGCCGACCUUGAAAUACCACCCUUUAAUGUUUGAUGUUCUAACGUUGGCCCCUUACCGGGGUUGCGGACAGUGUCUGGUGGGUAGUUUGACUGGGGCGGUCUCCUCCUAAAGAGUAACGGAGGAGCACGAAGG